rnacentral:rRNA from 1 species
CACGUAGGGUGCGAGCGUUGUCCGGAAUUAUUGGGCGUAAAGAGCUCGUAGGCGGCCUGUUGCGUCCGCUGUGAAAUCCCGGGGCUUAACCCCGGGCGUGCAGUGGAUACGGGCAGGCUGGAGGCAGGCAGGGGAGAACGGAAUUCCCGGUGUAGCGGUGAAAUGCGCAGAUAUCAGGAGGAACACCGGUGGCGAAGGCGGCAUCCUGGACCGGUAUUGACGCUGAGGCGCGGAAAGCCAGGGGAGCAAACGGG